UGUUUUCUACUGAUGUCCAUUUCUAUCUCAUCUCCUCGAGGUCGAUGUAGUUCUUUGUUCUUCUGACUCCAUUGAUGCCACAGUUUCCCCUGAUGAGGCAGAAAUGAUUCUUUGAUUUCUCUCAGAUCUUUCUUCUUCAGUAAACUCAUCAUCUUCUGUGCUGCUGCUCUUCCUCUCCUGCAGUCAUCAUCAUCUUCCUCAUCUACUAUGAUCUCUGAGUCUUUGGACAUAUCUUCAAGUCUGAAAGUGUGAGAUGAUUCUGAGAGACAGUCAUUUAUAGCUCUUCUGAGUUCUUCAGAUACUUCUGACUGAUUUCUGUCUUUCAAACCAGUCUUGUAUUUUCCUUUCUGUGUCUCAAUGACAGCUGAAUCAUUCUCAGUAAGAAGACAAAUGAAUGGCUUGUUGAGUUCUUGAACUUUUAUCAUUAUUCUGUCAUUCUUCUGAAGUUGUGGCAGAAGAACAACAUUGACUGAGCUCAUGUGAGUGAGGAUCUGCAGCUGUUUCUCAUGGUCUCCUGCAUCACCGUGUAGAUUACAGAACGCUACACACUCAGUGAAGUUAUCAUCAUCUGAUCCAGAAGGACAGAACCAGGAGAUCUCCACCACUCCGUCCAUCAGUUCUCUGGUUCUGCUGCUGCCGGGGCAGUUCCUGUGGAAGAACGUGUUGUGUUUCUCAUUGAUCAGACUGUUCAUCAGCUGAGACUUGGAUGAAGACACAGAGCCAAACCUGAAGAAGAACACCAUUGGAGUUUCUGCCUUGUAUAUCAGCUGGGUUUGACUGAUGAUCUCAUCGCUGGUGUUUCUGAUCUUCCAGCUCUUGUUGAUUUGUCUGAAUGUCCAGAGAGGAAACUCAAUCUGUUGUGUGAAUGGAUGAGGAACAAGCAGAGGAAGAGCGAACUGACACUGAGACAGUUUAGUGACCAUUAUCUGCUUAAGGAGACCAUGAGCACAAUGAAACACAGCCAUCUGAACAUCCAUCGGGUGAACAGUGUUUAUAGUCUGAUUGUUUUUAACAAAUCUUGCUCUGUAGUUCAUUAUCAGUAGUUUCUGAAUGUAAGUCUGAAUCAGCUCUUCUUCAGCACAAGACUCACGAGACUGUAAUGAAUGUGCAGUUAUCUGAAGAACAUCUGCAGCUCUCAGUCUGUGAUUUAUAUCAAGUCGAAGUUUGUGAAACAGACGCUCUAUUUUUUUCUCUUUAGUUAUUUUCGGCUGUAGGUGUUGUUGUGGUUGGACUCCUGAUCUUCCAGUACCCUUGUUUUUUUUUCAGUGUAUUAGACAAAACAAGGAUACAUUUAUUUUAUUCACUGUUUUCCAGUAGUGAUUUAAACUGUAAUUU
ensembl:lncRNA